rnacentral:rRNA from 1 species
GAUGAACGCUAGCGGCAGGCUUAACACAUGCAAGUCGAGGGGUAUAGUUCUUCGGAAUUAGAGACCGGCGCACGGGUGCGUAACGCGUAUGCAAUCUACCUUUCACAGGAGGGAUAGCCCCAGAGAAAUUUUGGAUUAAUACCUCAUAGUAUAGCAGUUUCGCAUGAAACCACUAUUAAAGUCACAACGGUGAAAGAUGAGCAUGCGUCCCAUUAGCUAGUUGGUAAGGUAACGGCUUACCAAGGCAACGAUGGGUAGGGGUCCUGAGAGGGAGAUCCCCCCACACUGGUACUGAGACACGGACCAGACUCCUACGGGAGGCAGUCAGUGAGGAAUAUUGGACAAUGGGCGCAAGCCUGAUCCAGCCAUGCCGCGUGCAGGAUGACGGUCCUAUGGAUUGUAAACUGCUUUUAUACAGGAAGAAACCACUACUUCGUGAAGUAGC